AUUUGAACCAGUUUUUAGGUUAAUUUCUGGGUUUACUAUCAAUGCAUCAUUCAGUUUAUUUAAAUUUGGACCACAUAUCUAACAGUGGUUUAGGACUUGAGUUUUUCUUUUUGCCAGUAAUUUUCUCUCUUUUGAUUCAAAGCUGAAGACAUGAGAUACAUUGCUUUAUGGAUAAUAGCUACUUUUUCUAACCCAUGAGGAUAAAAUGAAAUCUGAAUUCCAACUGCUCCCCACCAUGUUGUUUUUAAAUGAGCAUUACAGUUUUAGCACUGGGCUUAUAGGAUUCUAUGCCUUCUCUAACACCUGAGGGUUGGCACUGAAUUACUUUUAGAUUAUUGUCCUUGUACUGAUGUUAUUUCUCCUUUCUAUGGAGAUCUCUUGUCUUAUUGUGAUUUAUUUAAUAUUUUCCAUUUUAUCCAGAAUUUUUAGGUACUUAAAAUACAAAGUUCAUCAGUUCAGUAUUCAUGAUGCAAAACGUUGGCCUCAGAGUUUUCUGUAGUAACAUUUAGUAAAAGAAAACAAAAGAAUAUUGUCAACAUAGCUCUAAAGUAAAUAAGAUCAAAAAAGCCAGAGAAGACAGAAACCAUUAAAAUGACAGCUAGUAGAAAUAAGAAGACACCUGG
rnacentral:lncRNA from 1 species